AACACUUCUGGAAACUCUCUUACUAUAGGAACUGACUGGAAAUGAGGUAUCUCAACACUAGAAUCAUGAACUCGGACUAAGUGAUAGACGCAACCUUUCGAAACUAACUUUCUUGCCUUAAGGUACGAAAUAAAACGACCCUUAGGCACUGCUGAACUGCUACUCCACUCUAUAACUGGCUCAUUCGGAAACUGAAACUUGACUGCUCGAGUUCUACAAUCUAUCGAUGCAUAACAAGCAUGAAGCCAAUCCAUACCUAGAAUGACAUCAAAAUCUACCAUGUCUAACUCAACCAAAUCAACCAUGG
rnacentral:lncRNA from 1 species